AAUUGUAAUAUAGAUUUUAAACCAUAAUACAAAAUUAUUAAUGUUACUGCACAUGAUAAACACUGUAAUAAUCAUAUCACUAACACGAACUUAUGAUAAUGUAGGUUGAAGGAUUAGUUGCUAUUCCUCUCUGUUACAUCAUCAUAACCCCCACAUGUUUUCUAUCAUGACAUCAUGAUGCAAAUCCAGACUGCUGUGUGUCCAUGCAGUAUUUAUGUGCAGCUGAGCUGAGUGGAGAGAUCGAGUCUCAUCAACACUCACCAUGAAGAUCCCACUCUCCUUAUUCCUGCUUGUAAUCAGCCUCAUAGGUACUCAGUGUCAGAGUCUUGAGUCUAUUCCCACUGGUUCAGUGGUGAAAAAACCUGGAGAAACUCUGAGUCUUUCCUGUAAAGGAUCUGGGUUUAACUUUGGUGGCUAUGGCAUGCACUGGAUCAGACAAAAAGCUGGAAAAGCUCUAGAAUGGAUUGGGGUUAUCUGGUCUGAUGCCAGUAAAACAAUAUACGCCAAAGACAUUGAGGGACGUUUGGAAAUUACCAGAGACAACUCCAAAAACAUGGUGUAUCUGCAGCUGACUGGUUUGAGUGCCCAGGAUUCUGCUGUUUAUUACUGUGCUAGAAACCACAGUGGUACAAACAUGUUAAUCAGCUGUACAAAAUCCUCCUCCAGAUGUGGACAAAGAGAAAAGAGCUGUCAAUAUAAAGGGCACUUUCACGAGAUCUGCAGGUGGCGCUACAGUUCAACAAAUAUACUGUAACAUUGUCGGUUUCUUUAAAGUACAACAUAUUCUCAUAUCCCCAGUCAGAUCUAGAUACUCCACAAUUUCUUUGUAUUUCUGUGACACAAUGAACACUGAGACUGUCUCUUAUAGUCAUAUUCUUACAGAGGAACCAAAAAGAAAAUAAAUAAUAUUUACAGAAAAUGUCUGACUUUA